AACGAACGCUGGCGGCAUGCCUAACACAUGCAAGUCGAACGAGACCUUCGGGUCUAGUGGCGCACGGGUGCGUAACGCGUGGGAACCUGCCCUUAGGUUCGGAAUAACUCCCCGAAAGGGGUGCCAAUACCGGAUAAUGUCUUCGGACCAAAGAUUUAUCGCCUUUGGAUGGGCCCGCGUUGGAUUAGCUAGUUGGUAGGGUAAAAGCCUACCAAGGCGACGAUACAUAGCUGGUCUGAGAGGAUGAUCCGCCACACUGGGACUGAGACACGGCCCAGACUACUACGGGAGGGAGGAGUGGGGAAUAUUGGAAAAUGGGGGAAAGGAUGAACCAGCAAUGCCGCGUGAGCCCUGAAGGCCUUAGGGUUGUAAAGCUCUUUUACCCGGGAUGAUAAUGACAGUACCGGGAGAAUAAGCUCCGGCUAACUCCGUG
rnacentral:rRNA from 1 species